CUGCAGUACAUUGAGCUCCAUAGAGACAGCGCCGGGCCAGGCAGAGCAGGAUGGCACUGGGUGACUCUGCGCCUUGCAGACGAAAAAUAACUAAACAAGGGCAAAGGAGAUCCUAAGAAGCCGAGAGGCAAAAUGUCAUCAUAUGCAUUUUUUGUGCAAACUUGCCAGGAGGAGCACAAGAAGAAGCACCCAGAUGCUUCAGUCAACUUCUCAGAAUUUUUUAAGAAGUGCUCAGAGAGGUGGAAGACCAUGUCUGCUAAAGAGAAAGGAAAAUUCCAAGACAUGGCAAAGGCGGACAAGGCGCGUUAUGAAAGAGAAAUGAAAACCUAUAUCCCUCCUAAACGGGAAACAAAAAAGAAGUUCAAGGAUCCCAAUGCACCCAAGAGGCCUCCUUGGGCCUUUUUCUUGUUUUGUUCUGAGUAUCGCCCCAAAAUCAAAGGCGAGCAUCCUGGCCUAUCCAUUGGUGAGGUUGUGAAGAAACUCGGAGAGAUGUGUCAUAAUACUGCUGCCGAUGACAAGCAGCCUUAUGAGAAGAAGGCCGCUAAGCUGAGGGAGAAAUACAAAAGGAUAUUGCUGCAUACCGGGCUAAAGGAAAGCCUGAUGCAGCCAAAAAGGGAGUUGUCAAGGCUGAGAAAAGCAAGAAAAAGAAGGAAGAGGAGGAAGAUGAAGAAGAUGAGGAGGACAAAGAGGAGGAGGAGGACGAAGAAGAUGAAGAUGAAGAAGAUGAUGAUGAAUAA